rnacentral:tRNA from 1 species
AAGGGUAUACCUCAGUGCUAGAGCACUGUGCUUAACAUGCACAAGGUCUUGGGUUCAAUCCCCAGUACCUCCA